GAAAAAGUUGUGAUUCUAAAAUGGUGGAAGAAAGUCUGGCUUCAGGAAUUGAUGAAGAAAAAUAACUGAACUGCUGAACCUUUCUAAUGGAGUUUUUUGGAUAUAUUAGUGGUGUUUGAAGUGAGAGACUUUGCCUUUACAACGUGGUUGUAUGGAUAUGACUGCACUACUCUGAAGUACGCUGCAAUCCAAAGCAGGAUUUCCUUCCUUUGAAAACUGGCCUACGUGGAACAGGUUGGCAUUUUUGUGGAUGAAUACCACUGGGAGUUCAGGACUUGCUGUGACUCUCACUCUUACUUAUAGGAGUUUUGCCUGCAGCAGUCACAUAGUUGAAAAAUAUGGAUCCAUGUGACUGCUAAGAGACCACUGAGAAGCCAAGACCUGCCUACCUGAGAUGGAAAUGACAGGGAAUAUUCUUAUUGAAGGAAUACCUGACGGAAUGUGUCAUUAAGUUCCAUGCACAGCCCAGGACCCAGCAGGGGCUCCACCACCUGCUUGGCUCUUCUUCACACAUCUCCCAGGCACUAAGUGGGAAGGACUGAAGGUAGACCAGAAGCAGCCAGCACACCCUGAGAGAAGGAACUCUGAGGGACUUUGCAGCUCAGCUUCCAUUCUGCUCACCUGGUGCACCCUCUGCACUCCUAUGUAUGCAGAGAAAGGAAUACCUCAAGUUCUCCCGUGCCUUCAGGAUAUGGCUGACAGCACUGCACAAAUGUGACUGAGCUCCUGAUAAGCGAGAGAAAUGAUAUGGAUGCAUAAGUUUACCAAAACCAGAAAGAACAGAAUUUUGCUGGAAUGACAGAUGGAACAAAACUUUCGUGAAUAUGGAUGGAGGAUGUUUUGGUGCCUAUUACAGGUAAGAAUACCGUGUUAUUCCUUAUGUAUCUGAAUGCACAGUGCACGUACACCUCCUGUUUUUUUUCUGAUCCCAUGAAGAAUAAUCCCAGGGGCACGCCUCGGGCCACAUUUCUACCUUAUUUUUAAAACUUUGGGCAUAGGUUGGAAUGUGCAAAUUCAGGCUUACAAAGAUGAGAUUUGUCUUUUUACCAAGUCAGAGAUGAGCAGAGAAACUUCCUUUUCCCCCUUGAAAACUGCCCUCAGCUACCCUGGCGUGGCUCUUGGCUGGGACGCUCACGACUAGAAUCCUUAAUUAGUGUUCAGCUUUGCACAUGAAAAGCAGAGAUUCUGUACCUCUCUGGAGGAAGGGAGGCCAACGACCAUUUCAAAACCAGUCCAUUGACAAUCUGCUCUACUUCCACCACCGAUCCUCCUAUCUUGCAUGUGAAAUGAACCAGCUGUUCCUCGAUUUCACAAAAGAAAGAGCGGACUCGGUGAUUGAGUGUCAGAAGAUGGUGUGUAUGUAUUCAGAUUUGUGGAGGCUCCUCCUUCAUUUCAGCCUAAGGAAACCAAACCGUGUGAAUGUGGGAUCACCAUGGUAGCACUAUUUCUUCCCUGCGUGCAAUAUACACUCCUGCUUUCACUGAAUCAGAAGUACAUGAUCAAGAAUUCAGUUUUCUUUUGGUCAUUUUUGCUUUCUAAGAAUAACACUCAGCUAAUGGUUGUUAUUACAUAAUAAACAGUAACUAUUAUCAGUGCUUAGAUGGGGAAUGCCUUUACACAGAAACCGACUCCAAAGUGAUAAAAAGGACUCAAUAAGUGGAAAGUAUCAGCGUGGGAUGCGCCAGACAAAAAGCCGCACCAUUUAUUACCGCUUCUAUCUGUUAAGAAAAUAGAUUUUUGUUAGCCCUUCCGCACAUGCGAUUCUAAAUCUUUCCAUUGAAAUCUUGCUGUGGAAAUAAACCUGUUAAAAAGAAUUGACUGCUGUGGCACAGCACGCCUGAAAAUGUAACUGGGAGUCAAGACGAUAAAAAAAUCGAUCAGUUCAGUGAAGGCGUUUCUGUGCCUCAAACUGAAAUGUGCAUUCUGAAGGAGCAUGGCCUGUGAACUGGAGAUCCAUGGAAGGAGCAGACCUGCUAAAAGAAUAACGUUUUGGAGCAACACGCUUAUUUGCUUAACAGCUUUCUACUGCAAUUAACAUACGCGGCAAAUGCGUGUAUUUAAUGUGACAGUCUGCUUGAAUAACCCUCUUCCAGGGUGGGAUUACAUAAUCUGGAAAUAGCAGAGUUACCCUGAGAUUAAAAUUAUUGAAUAUCUUGCUUAUCCAAAACGCCGGCAGCACUGCCUCCUCCAUUCCUCUGUUCUUUAUGCUGAUGUGUAAGUGAUCUGCAUGGGCUCUGCUUUCCUUAAAUUAAGGCACUGCCUGAGAGCGUGGCUCAGCACAGGGUUGCUGUUUGGAACCAAAGCAACUGAGAGAAACUCCGAGGAAAGGAUUUAGUGCAGCAUCAGUGCUGAGAGUGUGAGACCUCAGCUUUGUGAGUUGGUUCCACUGUGACCACCAUUUCUGGGAGACGAUGGGGCCUUCUGAGCAGAGAAUUGGCUUGGGUUGAAGGAAUAUACAAAUUGCCUCAGAUUGGGAGAUAAACACAUGGCCUAAUAUCUGUUAGCUAAUGGGCAAACAGACGUGACCGGCCUAGCAAGUGUCAGGAGUGGGGAAUUUGCAUGGCCAGGGACCCAUCAAGGGGCAGGUAGCUGCAAGGAGAUGUACUGGCAUCUGGAAGAAGGCAGUGGAGGAGCCGCUCCCUCACCUGGUAAUUGAGUGAGUUUCAAGUCUUCUUGACUUAAUUGACGGAGAGAUUCGUACCUGUAAAAGUGGUUGUACAUGAGGAUGGCAAAGCAGGACUUCCUAUAGCCACUGCUUAAGUGCACACUGCAUAAACACUUGCAAAAUAUGAGGAACAUGGUAAGGAAGCAGAUCCUUAGCUGCCAAAGAAAUCCCUCUGUGCUGGGCAGCACCAUGCUGGCAGAAGCACAGUUUUCAACACCUUCCAACAGGGACUGUGAAACUUCUAGAGGCUGCAAUUUCUUUCAUAUUAUUUCUUUUUUUCUUUCUUCUGAGAGUCCAGGGAGCUCCUCAAGAUGUUCCCAACCCUGGAAGACUUCCAGCCCCCCCUAGGAGUGUAUAAUAAGUCUUUGAGACAUUACGUUUUCAAAUGGAGAAGGCAGUUUCCAUUCUUGCCAGAGGAAUUGGCAGUCAGUGCAUCUCGAUGGGACUACCACCCAUUUCAGCUCUAUGGCACAAAGGCUGCUUUCAGCAAAGGCUUUGUACUAUGGGAUGUGCAGAUGGGUGUCUGGGCAGAAGGGGAAAAAAGCUUUUGCCGAGGGCUGGGGAAUGAAGAGAGCAAAAAAAGAUUCAUUUUUAGUCCCAUUCUCCCAGAGUUUUAAAAAUGACUGCAUUGCUGACUGGUGUUGCCUGUUGCCCAGAGAACGGCGGGUCACCUCGAAGGCAGAAAUGUUGUCUCCUCUACAUGCUAACCUUGCAGACUCUUUGGGCUGCAGCACCCGCAUUUCCCUCAGGUGUACUGAACAUUUCAGGUGAUGAUUGACCGCUCUCCCUGAUAUUUGUAUGAUUAUUAGUCUCUUCUCUGCGUGCUAUUCAGCGGACAGCACUGCUCAUAAAAAGCAGAUAGGAGCAAGUUGGACUGCCUCCCCUGGUGGGUAGGAGAGAGGAUGGGCUGAUUGAUGACCCUUGGCUGUUUUCUGAUGUUGCAGUUGUUUUUUAUGAUGUCAUUAGGAGGCUAUAGUCACAUUAAGGAAUCCCUCAUGACAUCAUAAAGGACUUGAUAUUUCGCUAAUGUUAUUUCAGCAGAGUGAAGCUCUGGCAUUUUAUAGUCUUUGCUUUCCCCAUAGAAUUAGGAGUUGUCUAACUACAACCUGGAAGAAAUGCAAAAAUAGUCAAAUGCCGACUUCAAAAGUUAUGGUUGAAGAAUGCUAAUGUAUUUGGCUCUUUCUGAGCACACAGCACCUUUAGGUGGAAUACAUGAUGUGCUUAUAAAAGAUGCCGUCGGUGAAUACAGAUCCUCAUGCAAAGGGAGAAUCAUGCCUUCCACUUUCUUUGAUGCACAGAUGCAAAAUUUGAUUUUUCUGGAGACUUUCUGCAACACUACAAGAGGUGAAUGGGAGUUAGUGCAGCAGGACAGCACGUCAGGGGCUGUGGUAUAAGGAGCCCAAACUGAGGUGUAACAAUGAGAUUGGAGAGCAUUAGCUGGAAAGCCAGAAGCUCUCAUUUCCUGGCACACAAAUAAGUGAAGAAACAUGGGUUUAAAGAGUUUAGUACAGGUUGAGCAAGUGCUGAGUGCUGUCACCAACUGCCCGUAGUGGGGUGGGUCAGGCCUGAUGCCAGUCAGCCUUACCAGAGCUCCUCAUUCUCCUGGCAGAGACAAAGGCACUUGUAUAUUCAGCAGAAAGAAUAAUAUUUCUUGUAUUGUGUCCUGUGUUGGCAUCCACAUUCCAGAACUGAUGUGCAGGAAUGCUCAGUGCUGCUGCUCUGCAGGUAUUAGAAAACAACAACAACAAACCCCCCCCAACUGCCUAAAUCCAUUUAUGUCUAAGGCUAGUUAUUUACCCUAUGCCUUAUGCUCUUCUUUAGAGCUUUAAUUAUAGUUUUCCUAGCUGACAGAACAUUUAAAGUUUUGAGAAAAUACAUAAAGUUGGCAGUUUCUAUGUUGCUUACCGAGGCAGUAUGUUCCUUUUUGCCUUUUCUUUCCAAACCUUCCUUUUCCUAGCAUAUGUCUGUGCAGGAAGAGAAAAAUCAAGGUGCUUGGGAUAGGGGGAGAGAACAUUAAGUGACAUUAAAUCAAAGAUAAUUAUCAGCUGUCAGUCAGGGAAUGGCACAGAGCCAGAG